GAUGAAGAACGCAGCGAAAUGCGAUAAGUAAUGUGAAUUGCAGAAUUCAGUGAAUCAUCGAAUCUUUGAACGCAUCUUGCGCUCCUUGGUAUUCUGAGGAGCAUGCCUGUUUGAGUGUCAUUAAAUUCUCAACUACACUGACUUUGAAUUGGUGUGGCUUGGAUUUGGGGGGAAAAUUGUUGUGGGCUUUUUCUAUAGUCUGCUCCCCUGAAAUUGAUUAGCGGUACCUUUGUGGAACUGUCUACAGGUGUGAUAAUUAUCUACAUCUUAGACAUCUGCUGGAAUGCUGCUUUCUAAACCUUACUUGUAUUGACAAUCUUGACCUCAAAUCAGGUAGGACUACCCGCUGAACUUAAGCAUAUCAAUAAGCGGAGGA
rnacentral:misc_RNA from 1 species